CAAGUGACCCCGGUCUAACCACCGGGAUGUUUCAUAACCCUUUGUUUGUCCGACUCUGUUUGCCUCCGGGGCGACCCUGCCUUCGGGCGGGGGGCUCCGGGUGGGACACUUCAAAACUCUUGCGUAAACUUUGCAGUCUGAGUAAAACUUAAUUAAUAAAUUAA
rnacentral:misc_RNA from 1 species